AGUUAUCAACUUGCUUUCAUUACACAACAUUCCUGAUAAUCUUAGCGAAAUUGGUGUGGAGUACGUUGAGGUAGGGAUUUAGCAUUUUGAUAUCUGGCUUAUUUGGUAAUACAACUACAAGACGAGGAAAGUCAGUUAGUAUGUGAAUGCUAUAUUUUUCUUCAAUUAAGAAGAAAAAUACAACUAAAUGACUAUAAUCUCAAGUAAGGAUGGGAAUUCUACUCC